rnacentral:pre_miRNA from 1 species
AGAGUGUGGUUUGCAGACAAUUACUUGGUGAAUGGGUUAAUUAUAAUGACAAUAACAAUAAUAUGAUAGGUAAGAUGAGUAAUAAGGUGCUAAGUAUUUGUAUUAAGUAAAUCACUAAUA